GACGAACGCUGGCGGCGUGCUUAACACAUGCAAGUCGAACGGAAAGGCCUGCUUUCCCUUGUGGAUUGCGGGUACUCGAGUGGCGAACGGGUGAGUAACACGUGAGUGAUCUGCCCCCAACUUGGGUAUAAGCCUGGGAAACUGGGUCUAAUUCCCGAUAGGACUGCAGGGUGGUGCCUGUGGUGGAAAACGAUUUUCUAGUGGUUGGGGAUGAGCUCGCGGCCUAUCAGCUUGUUGGUGGGGUAAUGGCCUACCAAGGCGGCGACGGGUAGCCGGCCUGAGAGGGUGGACGGCCACAUUGGGACUGAGAUACGGCCCAGACUCCUACGGGAGGCAGCAGUGGGGAAUAUUGCACAAUGGGCGGAAGCCUGAUGCAGCGACGCCGCGUGGGGGAUGACGGCCUUCGGGUUGUAAACUCCUUUCGACCGCGAGGAAGCCACCUGGUUGGAAGGGUGGUGACGGUAGAGGUAGAAGAAGCACCGGCUAACUACGUG
rnacentral:rRNA from 1 species